rnacentral:tRNA from 1 species
GGGCUCAUGGCUCAGUCCGGAAACGGUUUCGUCCGUUUACACCGAAGAGCGACAUUCGACUUCGUCGAAGUCCCUCGGAAAACGACGAGGCCUUUAGACAAUAGAGCAAUCGGCUCUUAACCGAUAGGUCGGGGGUUCGAAUCCCCCUGGGCCCA